ACAAUGUUAGAAUGCCAGCUCCACAAAAGGCAAUGUAAAUCAAAGCAUCUCACAGGGAAAAUGGACUCUGAUCCAUCAAUUGCAAGUGCUGAGAAUAAAAUGGGAGCCACAUUUUCUCUUUCCACCUUUCAUAAUUUUUUCCUAAUCAACGGGGAACUGCAACUUUCUUUGGAGAAGGCUCCAGCAAUUAUGUUUCUUUCUGUUGAUUAAUGUAGUUUCUCUUAAUUGUGAAUGCAGAUUAGUCUAAAAAAAUAAACAUUUAAAAAUAUAUGC